rnacentral:lncRNA from 1 species
UAUCGCAUCCUAUGCCUACGUAUCUCAUCUGGAAUGAGAAUCAGAGCUGUCGUAGUUCGGCUCACGCACGCCGAAACAAAACACACACAAACAGGCAAACAUGGAAACCGAAUGCCAAUCGCUGGACUUACAUCAGACUCCGAACCAAACAAACCCACACUGGAAACCAAAUGCCACUUGUUGGACUUAUAUCGGACUCCAAGCACAUAACAAUAGGAUACGGAAUGCCAAUCGCUGGGCUUAC